UGGAGGCUGAGGCAGAAGAAUCCCUUGAACCUGGGAGGCAGAGGUUGCAGUGAGCCAAGAUCGCGCCACUGCACUCCAGCCUGGGCAACAAGACUGAAACUCUGUCUCAAAAAAAAAAAAAAAAAAAAGUGGGAAUAGGAGGAAGAAAGGAGGAAAAAGGAGACAGAGAGAGAGAAAACUGCCUUCAGAGUGUAUUCCCCCCAAAUGCAAAUAAUGCAAGAUUUGACCUGUGUGCAAAUUCUACCCUUCUAAAUGAAUUGGCGCAGGAAUGCAAUACUGAAGAGACAUACUUUUAUUUCAUACUUGCAGGAGUGUGGUAGCAUCAGUAUUUAGUGCAUGAGGUCACAGAAAACUUAUAAAAAGCAAUUCCGAACAAACCAAAAUUCAUAACUUCUCAAGGCUCCCCGUUAACGCAUCCAAUACUGGAGAGAAAAAACCCAGCAGUACAAACAAAACACCAAAUACGUAUCAGGAACCUAAUACUGGCCAAUGUAAUUUUUUAAAAAGUUAUUUAUUCAGUUUAGAUUAUUUCAGUAAUAAAUAAGCAUCUUUUUUAAAAAAAAUUAAACAUAACACAAUAUUGACAUCAUCAGGUAAUGUGAACAUCCCCCAAGUUCCCUAAUCCUCAGGACUAAAAGUAAUUAUAUUUGCAUUACUUGUGCACAUUCCUUGACUACAGAAAUAAAAGAAGCUCAGUGACAUCACAGAUUAUGGGUCAUGCUGAUUAUGUGAAGAUGAUCUGUCUUCAGGUCCUUCAGUAUAACUCUGGUAAGCACCUACUCAGCAGAUCUUAAUCCCCAGCACCCUACACACCCCUACAACUCACCCCAGAGACUCAAGGGCCUGGGGAAUUCCUGACACGAGCUGUUCAGCUCCAGGAUGCCAGAGACCCAAUCCUCUUAGCCUGCAAGCACCCUGAGGCUGAGGGAACAUGGAUAGAGGCAAGGGGAGAGGGAAGGGGAUGGAAGGGUAUUUGCAUAACACGGGCUUCUGAGACCCUUCAGUUCAUAGAACAAAGAGAAACAGAAGAACUAUUUCAGGUGACUAUGGGUCAAACCCUGAUUACAUCAGAGCUAAGAGCCUUCCAAAUACCACAUGUCAUGGAAGCACCAUUCCAUCAGAUAGGCUGGAGAAGGAAAACAGGUGCAGGCAAUGGUGAUAAUCUAUAUGGAGAUGGAAGAAUCUGUGGAUAAUCUGCUCUAGCUUAUGCAUUCGAUUUUUAUUAACUUUAUGUUUUCACGCCUGCCUUGUGCCAAAAACAUUUUUGUUCAGCAUUCCAAAAGACUGGAUAAAGAAGGCAAAUCGCAAUGGAAGAGGAGAAGCGAGCACAGCUUUAGACUGAUUCCCAAUCCUCACGGACUCUGGACAUACACAGAUUUAAAUGUGCCCCCUCAUCUCAGAGAAAAGGUAAAUGUGCAGUUUAAAAAAAUAAAAAUUAAAUUAAAAAAUAUGUAAUUUCUUUAAAAUUAAAAACAUACAGAUCUAACUUUCCACACUACAUUGACCAUAUUUGGCCUAAGGAUAAAAAUACAGCUUAAACUGCAUUCAGGGAAAAAAACAAAAGCAAACUGCAUUCAGUAGACUUCAUCUUAAUAACCACAUUGACGUUACUAUUUUGGUUCUAUUAUAUAUGUAGUAGGAUAAAAGAAGUAAGUAACUACAUUAGGUUACUAAGAACCAAAUUUUUCAGUGUAAAAGAGAAACAGGCUGGGUGCAGUGGCUCAUGCCUGUAAUCCCAGCACUUUGGGAGGCUGAGGCGGGAGGAUUGCUUGAGCCCAAGACUAGCCUGAGUAAC
rnacentral:lncRNA from 1 species